UACGUAGGGUGCGAGCGUUGUCCGGAAUUAUUGGGCGUAAAGGGCUCGUAGGCGGUUUGUCGCGUCGGGAGUGAAAACCCAGGGCUUAACUCUGGGCUUGCUUUCGAUACGGGCAGACUAGAGGUAUGCAGGGGAGAACGGAAUUCCUGGUGUAGCGGUGAAAUGCGCAGAUAUCAGGAGGAACACCGGUGGCGAAGGCGGUUCUCUGGGCAUUACCUGACGCUGAGGAGCGAAAGUGUGGGGAG
rnacentral:rRNA from 1 species